rnacentral:snRNA from 1 species
AUCAGAAUGUUUAACCUGAACCCCCUGUGUAUAGGAAACACACAUGGCAGACGAUCAGCAUGGCCCCUGUGCAAGGAUGGUGCACAAAUUCAUGACACGUUCCCUAUUCUC